UGCAGAUCUCUGUGCUGCGUGGAACAGGAGUUGCCUAAGUGGCACCGGGCUCAGCCAUGUGCUAAAAUCACAGCCUGAGCAGGCUCUCUGAGCUUUAUUGUCAACUUUACAUGAUAAAGAUAACAGCAGCUUCCUUGAAGACUGCUUUAAGAAUUGCAGAUUCAUCAUUUACUACUUCCUGUCACCAUGUGAAGAAGGAUGUGUUUGCUUCACCUUCUGCCAUAAUUGUAAUUUUCCUGAGGCCUCCCCAACCUUGCAGAACUGUGAGUCAAUUAAACCUCCUUCCUUUACAAAUUACUCAGUCUCGUAUGUGUCUUUAUCAUCAAUGUGAAAAUGGGCUAAUACACUUACUAAAAGGACUGGACUAAAAUGUGAAGCCCCAUUUUUGACCUUUGCCCAUGAAUGUUACCAUCCUCUACCCAGAGAUAGAGAGAACAGACAGAAACUACCAGGGAGCACUUUGAGACAGGGUACUCAAGAAGGAAAAAACAAGAAAGUGUGACUCUUUGCUGUGGAAGAAAGGAAAUGAAGUUUUGUUGAUUUAUAUGGUUUGGAUUUGUGUCCCCACCCAAAUUUCACAUUCAAAUGUAAUCCAUAGUGUUGGAGGCUGAACCUGGUAGGAGGUGAUUAAAUCAAGUGGGUGAUUUUUCACGGAUGGUUUAGUGCCAUCCUUUUUGUGCUAUGCUCAUGACAGCAAAUUAGUUCUCAUGAAGUAGGUUACUAAUCCCAGCAACUCGGAAGGCUGAGGCAGGAGAAUCAAUUGAACCCAGGAGGUGGAGGUUGCAGUGAGCCAAGAUCGCACCACUGAGCUCCAGGCUAGGCAACAAAGUGAGACUGUGUCUCAAAAAAAAAAAAAAAAAAAAAAUGUAGCACCCCUGACAACUCUUUUCUUGCUCCUGCUCUUAUCAUGUGAGAUACUUCCCUCCCCCUUUGCCUUCCACUAUGAUUGUAAGUUUCCUGAGACCUUCUUAGAAGUCCAGUAGAUGCCAGUAUCAUGCUUUCUGUACACCUUGUGAAACUGUUAGUCGAUUAACCCUUUUUACUUUAUAAACUAACAAGUCUCAGGUAUUUCUUUUUAGUAAUGUGAGAACAAACUAAAACACUGACCCAAGAGAUUUGAAGUGUGGCAACGAGUUCCAGAUCAAACCUGAUAUUGAAGAGUUGGGAAUAAGUAUAUACAUACUUUGGAACAGUGCUUCUUCACCUAAGCACCACUGAUAUUUGAAGCUGAAUGAUUAUUGUGAUAGAAAGGUUGUCCUGAACAUUGUGAGAUAUUUAGUACACUGCUGGCUUCUAACACCAGAUACAAGUGGCAUCCCCUUCCCUCCAUUAUGACAAGCAAAAUUUCUCCAUAUAUUUCCAAAUGUACCCUGGGAAACAACUUCUUCCAUUUGAGAUUACAGAACACCCUACUGGGACAAUACUAAAAAAAAUAGGUGUGUUGCAAUGGAUAUUGCAGGUAUAAACUAGCAAGAAUUCCAACUUUGUUCCACCUUUGUUAUAAUUUAUUUCUGAAUUUGGUGUUAAAUUGUUAGGAAAUGACUUAAUGUGUCAUUUCAUGGUAUUGUUCUGAUGGAAGUUAUUGAGAUGAGUUAUUUAGAGCAGACCGCAGGGUUGCUGACUCUAUUUUCUUCUGGUCAUCUAAUACUGAAAGGAGU
rnacentral:lncRNA from 1 species